CCUACGGGUGGCAGCAGUGGGGAAUAUUGGACAAUGGGCGAAAGCCUGAUCCAGCCAUGCCGCGUGUGUGAAGAAGGCCUUCGGGUUGUAAAGCACUUUCAGUGGGGAAGAAAGCCUUGGGGCUAAUACCCUCGAGGAAGGACAUCACCCACAGAAGAAGCACCGGCUAACUCCGUGCCAGCAGCCGCGGUAAUACGGAGGGUGCGAGCGUUAAUCGGAAUUACUGGGCGGAAAGCGCGCGUAGGCGGUCUGAUAAGCCGGUUGUGAAAGCCCCGGGCUCAACCUGGGAACGGCAUCCGGAACUGUCGGGCUAGAGUGCAGGAGAGGAAGGUAGAAUUCCCGGUGUAGCGGUGAAAUGCGUAGAGAUCGGGAGGAAUACCAGUGGCGAAGGCGGCCUUCUGGACUGACACUGACGCUGAGGUGCGAAAGCGUGGGUAGCAAACAGGAUUAGAUACCCGUGUAGUC
rnacentral:rRNA from 1 species